AUCAGGGAAACGGGCAAACCUUAGUCAAAUUAAGAAUGAAGUUACACAUUUCAUGUGAGGGUUCUCAGUGUUGACGGGCUAGUGAUACAUUAGUUGAACUACUUAUAGGACCACUCUGCCACCAUAAGUCGAUCAGUACGAAAUAUUUUAUUGAAAUGUGUUAGAUUUUUGUUAUCAAUCUAUUUUUUAAUUUUAAUUGUACUAUUUUAUUUAUUUUGUUUAAUAUAACAAGGAUGUGGAGUCCGAACAGGGUGAAACUUGGGUCAAAGGGAGGCAAUUUAUUAUACCCCUGUUUAACUCCACAUACUUGAAAUUCCCUCAAUGUUAGGAUUUUCAUCUACUUGGAUAUUCAUGUUUGUACAUUUUUUUUUAAUAUCAGAUGUAUACUAGCUAAUAAUGACUAUUAUUUAGAGCUCUGUAAUAAAAAAAAAUAAAUGUAAGCAGAGCUCUAGAUAAUAAGUAUGCAGGGUGGGAGAAAUCUUGGGUCAUUAACAAUUGAUUUGCUGAAAUUUUCAAGUAAGGGGAUUUAUUGGAAAUGCAUCUGAUAUAUUUAAUGUAUGUAACUCAAUUUUAAAGAAAAGAUGUUAAGAUGAUGAGGAGAGCCACCUUGUCAGCCGGGAGAGCAGCUCUGAGGGAGAUGGUCAAUUUAAUCUUCACCAAGUCUGAGGCUUUACCAUGAAAAAUAUGUGGUUGUUAUAAUGAUGAUGUUUUCAUGGUGUUGGGAGUAAGACUUGGAUGUCUGAUAUUGUUAACAUGUUGGUUAGCAUCAGGUUUCCAUUGGGUUACUUGCUGGGAUAAAGCUGUUAUAAGUCGAAAGAGUUGCUGUUGCUGCCUUCCUUGUAUGGUAAAAUCCUCAGACUACAAUCCUGCAAACCAUUGGAUGAACUGUUGCUAUCUUUCGUAAAAAAAUCAGCAGAUAUUUGUCUUAUAAGCAGAAUGAAUUAUAAAUGCAAUUAAUUUUUAAUGCUUUAUUAUUCAAAUUAUAAAUAUUUAUUUCAUUA